GAUCAUGGCUCAGGAUGGACGCUAGCUACAGGCUUAACACAUGCAAGUCGAGGGGCAGCAUGAACUUAGCUUGCUAAGUUUGAUGGCGACCGGCGCACGGGUGAGUAACACGUAUCCAACCUGCCGAUGACUCGGGGAUAGCCUUUCGAAAGAAAGAUUAAUACCCGAUGGCAUAGUUCUUCCGCAUGGUAGAACUAUUAAAGGAUUUCGGUCAUCGAUGGGGAGUGCGUUCCAUUAGG
rnacentral:rRNA from 1 species